rnacentral:rRNA from 1 species
AGCCAAACAGCUAGCUUACACCUUAAAACACAACAACCAACUAUUAAUAAACCCUAAGAACUUAAAACACCUAAAAACAAAUCAUUUUUCCCCCUUAGUAUGGGCGACAGAAAAGGGAACCUAAAGCAACAGUGACAGUACCGCAAGGGAACGCUGAAAGAGAAAUGAAACAAACCAGUAAAGCACAAAAAAGCAGAGAUUAGCCCUCGUACCUUUUGCAUCAUGAUUUAGCAAGAAACCCUCAAGCAAAAAGAAUUAUAGUUUGAUUUCCCGAAACCAAGUGAGCUACUCCAAGACAGCCUUAUGGGCGAACCCGUCUCUGUGGCAAAAGAGUGGGAAGAGCUUUGAGUAGAGGUGAAACGCCUACCGAACUUGGUUAUAGCUGGUUGUCCAAGAAUUGAAUAGAAGUUCAGCCUUUUGCCUACUCCGCCGAACAUUUGUUAUAGUUCAAGAGAAGGCUAAAGAGUUAGUCAAAGGGGGUACAGCUCCUUUGAAACAGACACAACUUUGACAGAAGGGUUAAGAUCAUAGCAGAAUAAAGGAAAAUGUUCUAGUUGGCUUGGAAGCAGCCACCCAUGCAGAAAGCGUUAAAGCUCAUACACUUCCUUCCCCCUAUUAUAAGGACCACCCCCUCUUACCCCCCUACAUCUUAUUGGACCACUCCAUUUAACUAAUGGAAGAGACGAUGCUAUAAUGAGUAAUAAGAGAAUUAGACUCUCUCCCUGCACAAGUGUACAUCGGAACGAACUAACACCGAAAAUUAACGGCCCCAAACAAGAGGGUAAAAGAACACCAAGGUAAAACCACUAGAAAAAUAUCUACGCACCCCUACCGUUAACCUUACACCAGCGUGCUAACAAGGAAAGACUAAAAGAAAAAGAAGGAACUCGGCA